AUGCAAGUCGAACGAUAAGGCCCCUUCGGGGGUACAUAAGUGGCGGACGGCUGAGUAACACGUAGGUAACAUACCUUGUACUGGGGGAUAACACCGGGAAGCUGGUGCUAAUACCGCAUAAGUGCCAAGUUGAAAUACUUGUCAUUAAAGUUCAGGCGGUACAAGAUUGGCCUGCGUCUGAUUAGUUUGUUGGUGAGGUAAUGGCUCACCAAGGCGAUGAUCAGUAGCUGGUCUGAGAGGAUGAUCAGCCAGAGUGGAACUGAGAACGGUCCACACUCCUACGGGAGGCAGCAGUAGGGAAUAUUGCACAAUGGGCGAAAGCCUGAUGCAGCAACGCCGUGUGGAGGAUGAAGGCCCUAGGGUCGUAAACUCCUGUUAGCAGUGAAGAAUUCUGACUGUAACUGCAGAGGAAGCACCGGCUAACUACGUGCCAGCAGCCGCGGUAAUACGUAGGGUGCAAGCGUUGUCCGGAUUUAUUGGGCGUAAAGAGUUCGUAGGCGGCGACUUAAGUCUGAUGUUAAAUACUGGAGCUUAACUCCAGCUUGGCAUUGGAUACUGGGUUGCUAGAGUUUGAUAGAGGUAACUGGAAUUCCUGGUGUAGCGGUGAAAUGCGUAGAUAUCAGGAGGAACACCCGUGGCGAAAGCGAGUUACUGGGUCACAACUGACGCUGAGGAACGAAAGCUAGGGUAGCAAAAGGGAUUAGAUACCCCUGUAGUCCUAGCCGUAAACGAUGGAUACUAGGUGUUGGUGGAUUCGACCCCAUCAGUGCCGUAGCUAACGCGAUAAGUAUCCCGCCUGGGGAGUACGACCGCAAGGUUGAAACUCAAAGGAAUUGACGGGGGCCCGCACAAGCGGUGGAACAUGUGGUUUAAUUCGA
rnacentral:rRNA from 1 species